AAAAAGAAAAGAAAAAAACCCUUACACUUGAAUGGUCAGGUGUAGUUUUGAGCUUUAGCUGACAGAAUUAAGAGAAAGUUUGGCCCUUAUGCAUUCACAUCCUUGCUCAAUAAACAAACAAAACACAAAUGAGUCUCCUCCUCCAGAACUAGUUUUUGUCCCUAAAAAUGGAGAUUCAAAUGCAUUUCUUAAUUCUACUUGCUGAGCAUUCCCCAAUCACCACAAUAUGCUUAGGAACACACUCUCCUUUCUGUUCUCUGCCUCCUUAGAUUCCCACCCUGGUUUAAAAAAAAAAAAAAAAAAAAUUUGGUCAGACGCUGAUUUAAAGAACUAAAUUAUACUUGCCUUUAACACAACUAUAGAACUGAGACAUAAACAGCUUUGUUUUCCCAUAGUUAACCGGACAUGAUAAUGCCUUUUCAUUUGUUUCUUGUAUUUGUUUCACAAAUACGAGAUCCACAUUUUAUUUUCCUGCCUCUUUUCCGGUAAGGUUGAAAUACAUGCAACCAAGUUAGGAUCUCCCUCUCUCUCAUCAAUAAUAAAGCCAGGAAGUUGGAUUUGAAGCAUUGUUUGUCCUUGUGGUCCUUGGAAGAACUCCCGGUCUUUAAAUUGACAGUGCAGCUGUUGAUCAAAAUUAUUCAGAAAAUUAAUAUAUUCUUAAUUUUCUGUCAGACAAGUUGAUUGUAGACUUAUGAAAUACUUAUGUCUAAGUAAAAACAAUGCCUAUAGUUUCUGUAAGAAACUAACAAAAAUAAUUUGGAUGUAGAAUGAAAAGCUCAACCUCAUUUCAACUCUGUACUAGAUGACAGAAGUGCCCUGUGAUGACCAAAUGCUCGGGCAAUGUAGGGUGACUGCCGCCAAUGAGCCAAAAUACAAUCACAUGCAUCAGAGUCAGAGGCUGGCUCCUCAAAACAAGCCAGCUUUUCUGGUUAGAGAUGGACAUAGGAUGUUGGCGGCAUCUAUCAACACCCAGAUGAUAUGAGAAAGGGUGACAUUUGUAGCCAUAUACCUUUCAGAAACAAACUAAAUCUGCAUUUAUCCUUAAGAAAAAGAGAAAGGCAUACAAUAGGA
rnacentral:lncRNA from 10 species